GCUUCUCUCUGGCUACUUCUUGAUGCAAUCUGGAUGGAAUGCAUGUUUGCAUGGCAUCCAUCCUAUUGAUGUUUCUAUUUCAUCUAAGCACACCAUACAUGUCUCGCCAAAUGUUUUACCAUCCAUCUCCUCUACUUUGAUAUAUCACUCAAUGGCUGCCUUUAUCAACCCCUUGUUAACAGCAUCAAUUGAAUUAUUCCUUUGAAACCAAUCAAUUUCUUCAUAAUCAUAAUAAUAUGCCGUGUUUGUCCGAACAUAAGCUUUAGCCACCAUCCAAAGUGUAGAGUGCU
rnacentral:lncRNA from 1 species